rnacentral:tRNA from 1 species
AGAUUAGUAGUUAAGUAAUAAAAUACAACACUUUUAAUAUUAGGAUUAUUAGUUUAAAUCCAAUCUAGUUUA